GAUGAACGCUGGCGGCGUGCCUAAUACAUGCAAGUCGAGCGAACAGACGAGGAGCUUGCUCCUCUGACGUUAGCGGCGGACGGGUGAGUAACACGUGGAUAACCUACCUAUAAGACUGGGAUAACUUCGGGAAACCGGAGCUAAUACCGGAUAAUAUAUUGAACCGCAUGGUUCAAUAGUGAAAGACGGUUUUGCUGUCACUUAUAGAUGGAUCCGCGCCGCAUUAGCUAGUUGGUAAGGUAACGGCUUACCAAGGCAACGAUGCGUAGCCGACCUGAGAGGGUGUUCGGCCACCCUGGAACUGAGACACGGUCCAGACGCCUGCGGGAGGCAGCAGUAGGGAAUCUUCCUCAAUGGGCGAAGGCCUGACGGAGCAACGCCGCGUGAGUUAUGAAGGUCUUCGGAUCGUAAGACUCUGUUAUUAGGGAAGAACAAAUGUGUAAGUAACUAUGCACGUCUUGACGGUACCUAAUCAGAGAGCCACGGCUAACUACGUG
rnacentral:rRNA from 1 species